AUGGAGAAAGAGCAGAUCUGUGAGAAUCUUUACCAGCUCUUCUGCUCUGUGCUGAGGAACUGGCAGGACUGCAAGGAGGAAAAGGACAAACAGGCCAUCCUCAGGGCUGUGGCUGCCAUGAUGGCUGUCCUCCUGCAAGAGGAGCUGCACCAAGAGCAUGUCUGGGAGCAGCUCCUCUGGCUUGUGCACCAGUAUCAGGAGGUCCAAGACACCUGCAGGGGGACCAAGAGCCUCAGUAUCUUCCUGGAGGCCUUAGAGGGCGUUGAGACUGUCAUCCCCAAGGACAAGUUUCUGGCCAUCACCAGUGCUGUGUUCUAUCAGCUCUCUGAUGACACCAAGCAGCACAGCGAGGCUGACAUAGCAGAGCUGACCCACUGCAUCCUGCUGCAGGGUAAGGAGAAGAGCUUUGGCGAUGUUUGGUGGUGCCCUGGCCAAAACCUCUCUUGCAAACCUCUAGAAUGGGCGCAAGUUUCUUGCUAA
rnacentral:lncRNA from 1 species